rnacentral:lncRNA from 1 species
GUAACUAUGAAAAGUAACUAGAAACGCCCCAUGGGAAGGAAGAUGGCGGACUGAUCGAAGUUAUGUAGAGCACCUCAAGAUAAAAACAUAAUAUUCAAUAUCGGUAAAGUUAGAAUAAAAUAUUAGCACUUCACAAUCUGGUGGGUGAUAACCUUUAAUCUGGAUAAUAACACUAAACAAAUCUUAAGACUAGAGACAUUUAUCUACAAAUAUUACAAAAACAAGCAACACCCAAACAUGACGGAGGGUAAGACAGGGGAACCCAUCUCAACAUGACGGAGGGUAAGACAGGGGAACCCGUCUCAACAUGACGGAGGGUAAGACAGGGGAACCCAUCUCAACACGACGGAGGGUAAGACAGGGGAACCCAUCUCAACAUGACGGGGGUAAGACAGGGGAACCCAUCUCAACAUGACGGAGGGUAAGACAGGGGAACCCGUCUCAACAUGACGGAGGGUAAGACAGGGGAACCCAUCUCAACAUGACGGAGGGUAAGACAGGGGAACCCAUCUCAACAUGACGGAGGGUAAGACAGGGGAACCCAUCUCAACAUGACGGGAGGUAAGACAGGGGAACCCAUCUCAACAUGACGGAGGUAAGACAAGGGGAACCCAUCUCAACAUGACGGAGAGUCAGACAGGGGAACCGAUUUCAAAACGAAAACGUGACUCUUCUACAGACACAGACGAUUUAAUAUUUUCACCAGCGGGAAUGGUAAAGGUCGAAACCGAUCUGUUAAAAUCAAUAAAUGACAAACUGGGUACACUUGAAUUAGUUAGUAAGGAUAUAAAAGAGUUGAAGGCAAGCCUCGAGAUGAGUGAUGAAAAAGCUGCGACAUUGGAGAAGGAAACACACAAGCUAAAAGGGACAGUGAAUAAGAUUGAAACCGAAGUGAAUGACUUUAAAAAGGAGAACACCGUUCUGAGAGAAGCCUUACUGGACAUACAGACUAGAUCCAUGAGAGAGAAUCUGGUCCUAACAGGUAUCC